ACGGUAAGGAUUGACGGACUGAAGGCUCUUUCUCGAUUCCGGUGGAAAGUGGUGCAUGGCCGUUUUGGUGGUGGAUCGAUCCGUCUGGUUAAUUCCGUUAACGAACGAGACCUCGGCACUCCGAAUAGCGCGGCGGACGUCGCGGCCUCCGGGCCGUCUUCCGCACGAGCUUCUUAGAGGGACCGUCCCCCGCCGGGGAAGGAGGUGCGAGGCAACGACAGGUCUGUGAUGCCCUUAGAUGUUCUGGGCCGCACGCGCAUUACACUGACGCGUCCAACGGGUGACUCCCGACCCGAAGGGGCCGGGGAAUCCGCAAGGCGCGUCGUGAUGGGGAUUGAACGUUGCAAUUGUUGUUCACGAACGAGGAAUUCCUAGUAGGCGCGGGUCAUCAACCCGCGCCGAUUACGUCCCUGC
rnacentral:rRNA from 1 species